CAGUCGCCACGGGAAUACAGAGGGUGCGAGCGUUAAUCGGAUUUACUGGGCGUAAAGCGUGCGUAGGCGGCUUCUUAAGUCGGAUGUGAAAUCCCUGAGCUUAACUUAGGAAUUGCAUUCGAUACUGGGAAGCUAGAGUAUGGGAGAGGAUGGUAGAAUUCCAGGUGUAGCGGUGAAAUGCGUAGAGAUCUGGAGGAAUACCGAUGGCGAAGGCAGCCAUCUGGCCUAAUACUGACGAUGAGGUACGAAAGCAUGGGGAGCAAACAGGAUUAGAUACCCCGGUAGUCCCUGUCUCUUAUAC
rnacentral:rRNA from 1 species